CGAACGCUGGCGGCGUGCUUAACACAUGCAAGUCGAACGGAAAGGCCCUGCUUUUGUGGGGUGCUCGAGUGGCGAACGGGUGAGUAACACGUGAGUAACCUGCCCUUGACUUUGGGAUAACUUCAGGAAACUGGGGCUAAUACCGGAUAGGAGCUCCUGCUGCAUGGUGGGGGUUGGAAAGUUUCGGCGGUUGGGGAUGGACUCGCGGCUUAUCAGCUUGUUGGUGGGGUAGUGGCUUACCAAGGCUUUGACGGGUAGCCGGCCUGAGAGGGUGACCGGCCACAUUGGGACUGAGAUACGGCCCAGACUCCUACGGGAGGCAGCAGUGGGGAAUAUUGCACAAUGGGCGGAAGCCUGAUGCAGCAACGCCGCGUGCGGGAUGACGGCCUUCGGGUUGUAAACCGCUUUCGCCUGUGACGAAGCGUGAGUGACGGUAAUGGGUAAAGAAGCAACGGCUAACUACGUG
rnacentral:rRNA from 1 species